AUCACUUCUCAGACUUUUGGCUAAGAUCAAGUGUAGUAUCUGUUCUUAUAAGUUUAAUAUAUGAUACAUCCAUUAUCUGAAGACAAUUUAGUAAAUGGAUUUUUGGAGCAGGGAGAUGGAAUAGGAGCUUGUGCCAUCCACUCCACGCAUCGACGUGGUAGUGCAGGAUCUCUGGGAAUGGUGCACCUACU
rnacentral:snRNA from 1 species